GAUGAACGCUAGCGGCAGGCCUAAUACAUGCAAGUCGAACGGUGUCUUCGGACAUAGUGGCGCACGGGUGCGUAACACGUAUGCAACCUACCUUACAUUGGGGGAUAGCCUUUCGAAAGGGAGAUUAAUACCGCAUAAGACAGUAGCUGGGCAUCCAGCAGCUGUUAAAGAUUUAUCGAUGUAAGCUGGGCAUGCGUCCAAUUAGCUAGUUGGUGAGGUAACGGCUCACCAAGGCAAUGAUUGGUAGGGGAACUGAGAGGUCAAUCCCCCACACUGGCACGUGGAUACGGGCCAGACUCCUACGGGAGGCAGCAGUAGGGAAUAUUGGGCAAUGGACGCAAGUCUGACCCAGCCAUGCCGCGUGCAGGAUGAAGGCGUUAUGCGUUGUAAACUGCUUUUAUACAGGAAGAAACGACUCUUGCGAGAGGCAUUGACGGUACUGUAUGAAUAAGCACCGGCUAACUCUGUGCCAGCCGCCGCGGUAAGAC
rnacentral:rRNA from 1 species